GAAAUGCGAUACGUAACGCGAAUUGCAGAAUUCAGUGAAUCGUCGAAUCUUUGAACGCAUAUUGCGGUUUUCGGGCUUGCUCGAAAACCAUGCCUCUUUCAGUAUCGGCUACUCAAAACUCCAGAUGUCUUGCUUUGCAAGGCUGAAGGGAAAAUGAGGUGUCUUGAAGCCUUGUGCUGCAAGUCCCUUGAAAUUGAGGAAGGGAUGAGGGGCACCACACUUAAAUCUUUUCUGUCGGGCAUUUCAACCUAGAUACGAGGUGGUUCACUUCGCGUGAUUCUUUCUCUCUGUCUAGGGUUCCAGAAAGGGUGGUUGAGGAGCUGACGUCCAUACCAAACUUCCUUAAGCGUAUAACCCAUAACACAUCUGAUCUGAAAUGAGGUAGGAGGACCCCCUGAACUUAA
rnacentral:misc_RNA from 1 species